AACGAACGCUGGCGGCAUGCCUAACACAUGCAAGUCGAACGAGACCUUCGGGUCUAGUGGCGCACGGGUGCGUAACGCGUGGGAAUCUGCCCUUAGGUUCGGAAUAACUUCGGGAAACUGAAGCUAAUACCGGAUGAUGACGUAAGUCCAAAGAUUUAUCGCCUAAGGAUGAGCCCGCGUAGGAUUAGCUAGUUGGUGAGGUAAAGGCUCACCAAGGCGACGAUCCUUAGCUGGUCUGAGAGGAUGAUCAGCCACACUGGGACUGAGACACGGCCCAGACUCCUACGGGAGGCAGCAGUGGGGAAUAUUGGACAAUGGGCGAAAGCCUGAUCCAGCAAUGCCGCGUGAGUGAUGAAGGCCUUAGGGUUGUAAAGCUCUUUACCCGUAGAUGAUAAUGACAGUAUCGGGAGAAUAAGCUCCGGCUAACUCCGUGCCAGCAGCCGCGGUAAU
rnacentral:rRNA from 1 species